UACAGAGGUCCCAAGCGUUGUUCGGGUUCACUGGGCGUAAAGGGUGCGUAGGCGGUCGGGUAAGUCUGAUGUGAAAUCUCCAAGCUCAACUUGGAAAUGGCAUCGGAUACUAUUCGGCUCGAGGAAUGGAGGGGAGACUGGAAUACUUGGUGUAGCAGUGAAAUGACGUAGAUAUCAAGUGGAACACCAGUGGCGAAGGCGAGUCUCUGGGCCGAUACUGACGCUGAGGAGCGAAAGCGUGGGGAGCGAACAGG
rnacentral:rRNA from 1 species